CUUUCCUACAUUUAUUGUACACAUACAUGUGUCAGUAAUAAAGCAUCUACUAAUGUUUCUGUAUAUAUAGCUACUGAAAAGAUAACAACCUUGUGUGGAUGAGAUGUCCUUUGCAGAUAAACCGAAUGCAACAAGUAGGAGAUGCGUGUUGGCACACAAAGAUGGCUUUCCUCGACCUCAGUUCCUCCAUUUUCCUGCAAGUUGAUCACACACCAAUGUCAGAUUUAAAGAUGACUAAAAAAGAAACUGGUGAAGCCUAAGACACAAUACGUUGAAUAGUGUUUGUCUGCAGCUGCUCCCAUUAUCAACUUCCUGACUUUAUUCUCAUAUAUCAUCUUCACAAUCCCUUUCUCUAUGGAGUCCAUCUCAACGCACAGCUUCUCUGCAUGGACCUGCAAAAACAAAUCUCCUUAGAAAUGACACAUACUUCAUAUCUCAUGAGUAUAUGUAUUAGCUGGCAUUUGGUUUUCGGUUUGGUUCUUUCAGUUCUAGAGGGUUAGGAUCUAUUCCGAUAUUUAAAAAAUUUAGUUCAGUUAAUUCGGUUUUCGGUUCAGUUUAGGUAACAAAGUUGGGAACGGCUAAUAUUCAAGGUAAUUUCGGAUCCCAUUCGGUUUACUGAGGCAAAUUCUGAGGUACUCAUCAACACAUACCCCUUUCUUCAGGCAAAUUCUGAGCAUCAAAUCUGGUACCCACUGUGGAAUAAAGAGAAAAAGAAAGAUCAAACCCACUGACUCUUUGGAUUUGUAGUGAGGGGUUAAAAAGACUUACAAAGAGGAAUCAUAUGAGGAGGUUGGUGAACAAGAACGAUGCAGAUCUUGUUCCCUUGGGAGUUAUCUAUUGCCCAUGUUAGAUUUGACUUGUUCUUGGCAGUUUCUCUCCCCACGGCAACAUAUAUUAUCUCCUCCAUCACUGCUGCUGCUUCUUCUUCUUUCUCCAUGUUCUUCUCUUUUGAGAAAAGUGGUUGGAAGAAUGGCUGGUUCGUUUGAGACAAGAAGCUGUUGUUUUCCCAAAUGUUUUAAAUAAUGUGGAAUCAAGAAAGAAAAAGAUUUGAUGAACGCAUGUGUCAUCCCUCUCUGGUGUAACUCUGUUCUUUCGAAUAUUCCAUCUGGAGUUUUGUAUUAUUAUCUCUUGUGUGUGUGUGUUUUUUAACUUCCAUGCCCUUUGAGGGUCAACGACCUAAUCAAACUCCAGAAGGUAACAAU